CCUGAUACCCCUCUCUCUCCAGCACCAAACCCUACCCCUCUCUCUCCAGCUCCAAACCCUUCCCUUCUCUCUCGUUCCAAACCAAACCCUUCCCUUCUCUCUCGUUCCAAACCAAACCCUUCCCUUCUCUCUCGUUCCAAACCAAACCCUUCCCUUCUCUCUCGUUCCAAACCAAACCCUUCCCUUCUCUCUCGUUCCAAACCAAACCCUUCCCUUCUCUCUCGUUCCAAACCAAACCCUUCCCUUCUCUCUCGUUCCAAACCAAACCCUUCCCUUCUCUCUCGUUCCAAACCAAACCCUUCCCUUCUCUCUCGUUCCAAACCAAACCCUUCCCCUCUCCAGCUCCAAACCAAACCCUUCCCCUCUCCAGCUCCAAACCAAACCCUUCCCCUCUCCAAACCAUUCCCCUCUCUCUCUCUAGCUCCAAACCAAACCCUUCCCCUCUCCAAACCAUUCCCCUCUCUCUCUCUAGCUCCAAACCAAACCCUUCCCCUCUCCAGCUCCAAACCAAACCCUUCCCCUCUCCAAACCAUUCCCCUCUCUCUCUCUAGCUCCAAACCAAACCCUCUCUCUCUCUCUCUCUCUCCAGCUCCAAACCAAACCCUUCCCCUCUCUCUCCAGCUCCAAACCAAACCCUUCCCCUCUCUCUCUCCAGCUCCAAACCAAACCCUUCCCCUCUCCCUCCCCAGCUCCAAACCAAACCCUUCCCCUCUCUCUCCAGCUCCAAACCAAACCCUUCCCCUCUCUCUCCAGCUCCAAACCAAACCCUUCCCCUCUCUCUCUCCAGCUCCAAACCAAACCCUUCCCCUCUCCAAACCAUUCCCCUCUCUCUCCAGCUCCAAACCAAACCCUUCCCCUCUCCAGCUCCAAACCCUUCCCCUCUCCAAACCAUUCCCCUCUCUCUCUCUAGCUCCAAACCAAACCCUUCCCCUCUCCAGCUCCAAACCAAACCCUUCCCCUCUCCAAACCAUUCCCCUCUCUCUCUCUAGCUCCAAACCAAACCCUCUCUCUCUCUCCAGCUCCAAACCAAACCCUUCCCCUCUCUCUCCAGCUCCAAACCAAACCCUUCCCCUCUCUCUCUCCAGCUCCAAACCAAACCCUUCCCCUCUCCCUCCCCAGCUCCAAACCAAACCCUUCCCCUCUCCCUCCCCAGCUCCAAACCAAACCCUUCCCCUCUCUCUCCAGCUCCAAACCAAACCCUUCCCCUCUCUCUCCAGCUCCAAACCAAACCCUUCCCCUCUCUCUCUCCAGCUCCAAACCAAACCCUUCCCCUCUCCAAACCAUUCCCCUCUCUCUCCAGCUCCAAACCAAACCCUUCCCCUCUCUCUCUAG
rnacentral:lncRNA from 1 species